rnacentral:rRNA from 1 species
CAUGGUGGGGGGUGGAAAGCUUUAUUGUGGUUUUGGAUGGACUCGCGGCCUAUCAGCUUGUUGGUGAGGUAAUGGCUCACCAAGGCGACGACGGGUAGCCGGCCUGAGAGGGUGACCGGCCACACUGGGACUGAGACACGGCCCAGACUCCUACGGGAGGCAGCAGUGGGGAAUAUUGCACAAUGGGCGCAAGCCUGAUGCAGCGACGCCGCGUGAGGGAUGACGGCCUUCGGGUUGUAAACCUCUUUCAGUAGGGAAGAAGCGAAAGUGACGGUACCUGCCUAACC